rnacentral:rRNA from 1 species
GUUGAACGCUGGCGGCAUGCUUUACACAUGCAAGUCGAACGGUAACAGGCCGCAAGGUGCUGACGAGUGGCGCACGGGUGAGUAAUGCAUCGGAACGUGCCCAGUCGUGGGGGAUAACUACUCGAAAGAGUAGCUAAUACCGCAUACGAUCUAUGGAUGAAAGCGGGGGACCGUAAGGCCUCGCGCGAUUGGAGCGGCCGAUGUCAGAUUAGGUAGUUGGUGGGGUAAAGGCUCACCAAGCCAACGAUCUGUAGCUGGUCUGAGAGGACGACCAGCCACACUGGGACUGAGACACGGCCCAGACUCCUACGGGAGGCAGCAGUGGGGAAUUUUGGACAAUGGGCGCAAGCCUGAUCCAGCAAUGCCGCGUGCAGGAAGAAGGCCUUCGGGUUGUAAACUGCUUUUGUACGGAACGAAACGGCUCUGGUUAAUACCCGGGGCUAAUGACGGUACCGUAAGAAUAAGCACCGGCUAACUACGUG